rnacentral:misc_RNA from 1 species
UUUCGAAGCUUAAUAGACACAUUCCCAACAAACGACGGAUAAAUUAGCACGAAGAGACGCGAGUCGUCCCAAGAGAAAUAAUUCCGAUUUCAGUCGUUCCAGAUCGUAACUGUGUUUUUAGUCGGCCGUAAAAGGGGGGAAACAAUAAUUCUCCCCGGCACGGCGUUUUCUCCAAGGUGGUCGUGGAAAUGACUUUAAUCGCCCCUCAGGAUACCAUUAUCGUAAAUUAGCUCGCUUCAAAGUUGCUUCAAACACCGAGUGGGCUUAUUGUUGGACCGGCCCAUCCCGGGGUCGUUGUCUUAAUUUCGUUCUAGUUUCUUUGUGCACAUGCAGGAACUAAUUAUCGAUACUUGGCGAGUUCCCA